GGCCGCGCUGCCGCCCGCCAGCAGAGGGGGUUCGGCAUCCUUUUGCAUUUGAGGUUUUUUCCAUGUUCUGUGCUGGAACUGCUGUAAGAACAGCUGCAAGAAUACAGCCUACUGCUUCCGUCAGCGAGAGGAGGGGCAGCUCAUCAGGAGGCAAACACCACACCAAUCAAGUUAGGAAAUCUUUUCUUAGGAGAGCCAUGCCUCUGUUGCACACUUGGCCCACUAGUACUGCUGAGGGUGAUGCCACAGGAGAGGAAAUCAUAGCCUGGCCACUGCCCAACGCGGCCAGUGUGGGCUCUCAUGCAGUUCCACCUGCACAGCUGCAGAGGUGUGAGCUCAGCACUUCCCCAGGGCUGCUCUCAAGGCAUCCCAGGGCUUUGUGCCUCAGCCUGCUUACACGUUCAGGCUUUCUUCCUACAGGAGCCACAGGCCUGUGGGGAAGGGGUGCUUCUGAGACUCUCUGGUGCCAGUUUUGAUUCCUCUGUGCCGUGGCUGGUUUGUAAUCGUCACUGCCUGGGCAAAAGUGAACACUGCUGCCCUUGGCAGAGAUGGGAAUUGGCAGAUUGGAAAUCUCUUAUUUGCCAGAGUUGUUCCUUCAUAUCUCAUGUUUUCCAGAGCAGCAAAUACAGAUGCAAAUCUCCACG
rnacentral:lncRNA from 1 species